UGAAAAAUUAUUAAAGGAUCAGGAGCAUGGAUCAUUGACAGAAUUAUGGGAUCAAUAAAAGCACUGUACAAGCAAGAGCCUGCAAGAAAAAGGCCUGUGUGAGAAAAACUCUCCAUGAGAAAAUCCCUGUGUGAAAAACAGGGCUGGGAACAAGAAGGGAGUUUGAGAAGGUACAGCUGUGGAGAUAAGACCCGGAGGGAGGAGGGUGAACUCUGAAUUCUUUUAAUCAUAACAUAACUGUAGAAGCUUGCCAAUGUAA